rnacentral:rRNA from 1 species
UACGUAGGUGGCAAGCGUUAUCCGGAUUUAUUGGGUGUAGAGGGCGUGUAGGCGGGAAUGCAAGUCAGAUGUGAAAACUCAGGGCUCAACCCUGAGCCUGCAUUUGAAACUGUAUUUCUUGAGUGCUGGAGAGGCAAUCGGAAUUCCGUGUGUAGCGGUGAAAUGCGUAGAUAUACGGAGGAACACCAGUGGCGAAGGCGGAUUGCUGGACAGUAACUGACGCUGAGGCGCGAAAGCGUGGGGAGCAAACAGG